UACGUAGGGCGCAAGCGUUGUCCGGAAUUACUGGGCGUAAAGGGCUCGUAGGCGGCCAACUAAGUCGGACGUGAAAUCCCUCGGCUUAACCGGGGAACUGCGUCCGAUACUGGAUGGCUAGAGUUCGGGAGAGGGAUGCGGAAUUCCAGGUGUAGCGGUGAAAUGCGUAGAUAUCUGGAGGAACACCGGUGGCGAAGGCGGCAUCCUGGACCGACACUGACGCUGAGGAGCGAAAGCCAGGGGAGCAAACGGG
rnacentral:rRNA from 1 species